UCUACCUCACUUCACUGGAAGAAUUUAAGCUGAGAACAGUAUGAUUAUCAUCACACCAGAUCCCUGAUAAGUCCAGGUGGUUGGAUUUGGAUGAGCUCUAAGGUGGCCUCCAAUUCAAAGACAAGGUGUUCUUUCAAUGUAUGGUCUAUGGCUUAGUUGGAGAGAACUCUAUGGAUAUGGAUGUACAGGAGGGACCUUUUGACCAAAUGGCAGAAAUGAUGGCAAGAACUUCUUAGCUCAGAACAAAGCUUCCUGGACUUUCUAUACCUCUCACUUUGUAUGCAGGCCACACAGAAGUCAAAUAUCUAGGCUGUCGGACAGUAAGCCAUGUGAAAGAGAAGGAAAUAACUCCUUGGUGGAUGUGAACUGUGAGGAAGAAUGAUGAUGCCACUCUAUGUUCCAUGACUCUGUACCCAGAGAAGUAACAGGACUUGAUCAAUGGAAAUGUUUGGUGGGAGGGGGAAGGGAUACUGGGGAUAAACAGUUAAGUGUGGGUCUCAUCUGGGAGAAUGAUGAUGUUUUAGCCCCAUGGUCCAUGGCUCUGAGCCCAGCAGGUGAGUCGGGGACAAUUGAUGGGUCCUGACACCCAAAGCAGUUGCAGUAAUUUUGAACUAUGUGCCAUGGCCAAGCAGCUCUCAGUGCUGCAGACAGCUUCAUUACCGUGGGCCCAUCCUUCACUUAGCAGCAGACCUUCUUCCAUCAGCCAAAGAUGAAUGAGAAAAUCACCCAGGCUCUACAUGUUUUCAGUAUUACCCUCUUUAUUUUGUCCAUACCAGGUUUGGUUUAUGUGUUCUGUUGCCUCCCCUCUGAACUAUGGUGCAGAAGGCCCCUGGCACCACCCUCCCCUCAAAUGAUAUAUAGAACGUGGACAAGAAGAUCUCCUCAAAGGACUUGGCAGAUGGGGGAUCUCAGCAGUAAUCAAAGAAUGACAGAGUGUGCCCUGGCUUGUCCAGGAAUAGGCAGAGGUUCAUUACAACAUUAAUACAUCAAAACCAGUUCCAUUCCCAUUGCUGAGCACAUAAUGAAUAGAACUCCCAAGAAUCAGAGUGGGCAACUAGCAGAGCUUAAUUUCCUGCCAGAAGAAGAAGACAUGCUUGCACUAUGGUUCCAGGUUCCAUGAAGUGAUAUGUUACAAGACAUAUCGAUCUGCAACAGAAUCUGAGCAUUUUUUUUCCAGUCAGUGCUCAUGAAAAGGAAGUACAAAGAGUAAAGAGAGUUAAGGAAGAGAGCCUACCCAGUGUGGAAGCCAAUAGCAUAAAGCACAGCCUGGGAAAGAAGAUGACACAGGAGAGAGAGAAAGACUUAAUCAUAAUGAAAUGAUGCAACUCAUGAAUCCAACCAUGGCUGAAGACAUAAUUUUUCUGGAGGUUUCAUUGAUGAGCCAGUCUCAGGUGAGAAAAUGGAAUACCAGCUGUCACAGGACCAACUUGGAGUCCGAGAAUUGAAUACACAAAAAAAAAUAUAAGUGCUCCCACCAGAAAACCAACAGAACAAAUCCUAUUCUACUCUGAGCUUCACAGUCAAAUUCAAGAUAUGUUGAGAAAAGCGAUGCAGGAUAGACUGAACUGACAACUUCUGAUAAGACAGAGGUAAGGAUAGAGAAUUUUACCGAGCUAAAAAUAGAGAUCCGAAGAAGAAUGGCAGAGAACUCCUAUGGGAUUCCGAAGGCUCCAUCUCUAGAUGUGACCAUGUUCUGAUCAGUUCGACAUUGAAAGAAUCAUCCAGCUGGUUCAUGGCCAAUUUCAAUAUGAAAAGAAACAGACUGCCAAGCUUAGAGUAUCCAGAGGCUCCAGGGAAUGAAAUCCACUAUUGAGGCCAUGAAGAAGAAUGAAAAUUGAAGGGAAUAGAUGGAGUUUUGCAGAAGAAAAACACAGUGAAUGGCUGCCAUGAUGUUCCAGGCAUCAUGAAAAGGCAGAAACAAGAUGGAUCUAUUCAUGCAGCGACUAUUUAUCAAAUCCCUGCUAUGGCUCUCAUUUCUCUAGGAUCUGGAACCACCUAGAUAAAACCUAGAAUUUCUACUCUCAAGAAACAUAUAGUUCAAUUAAGGAAACAAAUGGAUAAAAUUUGUUUACACAAGUAAGAAAAUUGCUCUUUAAAUAGUGACUUCUGUGAAGAUAUAUGCAAUUAAAAAUCUACAAAAAUCCCAAAACCACUUUCACUCAUUUAUCAACAGGUAAAGCCAAGAGAAAGAUCGUUAUGAACAAAAAUGUAUGGGGAAAGUUGGAAACUUUAUAAUCUUUUUAAAGGAAAUAAGAGGUCAAGAAUACAUAUAGGAAGAGAAAGUUAUAGUUCUGGUCUAAUUAUACUAUUUUGGAUAAAUUACUUCAUCUUCAUCUGUAAAAUUAGGCAUUAGGCUAAAUAAUUUGCUAAAAUUUCUUAGAUUUCCUACCAUUUUUAUUAUAACUAUUACUAUAUUUAAGUUUAUUUAUUUAUU